rnacentral:lncRNA from 1 species
CGGACGUCUUGUUCAGAAAGUCGAGAUCCAAUUCAGGGAACCUCCCAGCCACCUUCUCUUGACAGAGUUCGAAACCCUAGAUGAAGGCGUCUUGGCCAAACUGGACCUUUAGAUCCUCCAUCUCGGAGGAGGCUUUGAACUCCUCCACCACUCGGGCCCCUGCCUCCAAAAUCAGGGACAGAAUCCGUGCUUUCAGCUUGGAAGCCUGCAUCUUCAGCUUGGAAACCUACACCCACAGUCUGGAGAUUUUGGCCUCGGCCUUCCCUCUCUUCUCCUCCAAGGUGGUCCU